GCUUACUCAUUUAGUUGAUAGUUUUAUGUCUGUAAGUGCUCCACACAUUUCCAUCAUUUCCCACUAUAUUUCUGUCAUGUAAUAACACCACAAACAACAGUAAACAAAAUGAAUUAACAAACAAGAAACGAGCUAGAUGAACAAAAGUAAUGCAGAGUAGGUGGAACAACAAACAAAACCAACAGACAAACAAACAAACAAAAAACAGAUCAAUAAAUCAAAACCAAUAUAAUACUAUUGUUUAUUACUAGAGAAAUAAAUUUAUUUUUUGGCUAAUUACCCCGCGAUCUCGUCACUGCUGAUUGAAGGAUUCUAUGCACCUGAAAGUUGCCA
rnacentral:lncRNA from 1 species